rnacentral:rRNA from 1 species
GAUGAACGCUGGCGGCGUGCCUAAUACAUGCGAGUCGAGCGAACAGAUAAGGAGCUUGCUCCUUUGACGUUAGCGGCGGACGGGUGAGUAACACGUGGGUAACCUACCUAUAAGACUGGGAUAACUUCGGGAAACCGGAGCUAAUACCGGAUAACAUUUGGAACCGCAUGGUUCUAAAGUGAAAGAUGGUUUUGCUAUCACUUAUAGAUGGACCCGCGCCGUAUUAGCUAGUUGGUAAGGUAACGGCUUACCAAGGCAACGAUACGUAGCCGACCUGAGAGGGUGAUCGGCCACACUGGAACUGAGACACGGUCCAGACUCCUACGGGAGGCAGCAGUAGGGAAUCUUCCGCAAUGGGCGAAAGCCUGACGGAGCAACGCCGCGUGAGUGAUGAAGGGUUUCGGCUCGUAAAACUCUGUUAUUAGGGAAGAACAAACGUGUAAGUAACUGUGCACGUCUUGACGGUACCUAAUCAGAAAGCCACGGCUAACUACGUG